AGCGAACGCUGGCGGCAGGCCUAACACAUGCAAGUCGAACGAACCUUUCGGGGUUAGUGGCGGACGGGUGAGUAACACGUGGGAACGUGCCUUUAGGUUCGGAAUAACUCAGGGAAACUUGUGCUAAUACCGAAUGUGCCCUUCGGGGGAAAGAUUUAUCGCCUUUAGAGCGGCCCGCGUCUGAUUAGCUAGUUGGUUGAGGUAAUGGCUCACCAAGGCGACGAUCAGUAGCUGGUCUGAGAGGAUGAUCAGCCACAUUGGGACUGAGACACGGCCCAAACUCCUACGUGAGGCAGCAGUGGGGAAUCUUGCGAAAUGGGCGAAAGCCUGACGCAGCCAUGCCGCGUGAAUGAUGAAGGUCUUAGGAUUGUAAAAUUCUUUCACCGGGGACGAUAAUGACGGUACCCGGAGAAGAAGCCCCGGCUAACUUCGUG
rnacentral:rRNA from 1 species